GAUGGUGUUUUGAUUUGAAAAUAUAGCCUUCUAAAGUAUUUUGUGAAUUUGUGUUGAAUAUAACCUCAAAUUUCUAGGUCGGUGGUGAAUUUAUGAAUUUGAUGGCUGUAUGGUGCGGAUCUGUGGUGAUUUUUUUUGUUGUUGGCUGGGUUUUUCUCUUCAAUUAUGGUUUGGCCUCUGGUUGUUUGGUGUGUUAAUUUUACAUUGUUUCUCUUUCAUUUUACCUGUCCUUUUUUUUAUUCCCUUGAAAUUUUUGGAACCCAUAUGCGCUUAAGGUUGGGGAAUUUGUUAUAGAGAUGGUGGAUGAGUCAGUGAACGAGCACCAGUUGGUGAACAUCUGAAGGAAGGUUUCAAUGAUGAAUUCACUAGUGCAAAAAACACUUAUUAAGUCAAGGUUUUUAAGUGGGUUGUUAUCCACCAGAUUUAAAAACAUGGGUGCAGGGGAGGAUUUUGACUUGAAUAGAUAUUAAAUGGUUUAACCCCAUUUAAAAUCUAUUUUAUAUUAAAAUAAUAAACACACAUAUCAAUAUUAGAAUGCCAAAAUUAUAUGAACUCAUCAAACUUUCUCUGCUAUAUACCGUGAAACCCACAAAUUCGUCGAACUUCAUCAUAUGUUCAUCGACCAUCAGCCCAACCAACAUUUCAAUUCGUUUACUCAAUCAGGUUGCCCCGACUCAUGGAUCUGAAGCCCUCGCUAUUGUUCUCGUCAUCGAUUGAAACGCAUCGGUUCUUCGAUUAGGUUUCUCUCAUUCACGCAUCUGAAGCCUAUUAUCGCUCACUGAAACACAUUCUCACUCCGAUUGCUCAGAUCCAAGCUAUUCAAUUUGGUUCCCUUGAAAAUUUUGCAUCUAGAUUUUUAGUUUUUUAUUUUAUUUAAUUUGUGAGUUUUGCUAUAAUUUUUGAAAAUUUCAGGUUGUUAAAAAGAAUGAGUUGUUGAUUCUGUUUUUGAUGUUGACGUGCUCGCUGAUUUCCUUCACUACUUUCAGAAUUAGGGUUUUUGAAGCUUCAGUUGGAUGUCAAAACUGUUUUGGAGUAUGCGGUGUCGAGGGAGAUGAAAUUGUUGAGAUUCCUGGUCGAUUUAGGGCUUUGGAAUGAGCAGUUUCUGAUUUGGGUGAGUAGUUGCUGGUAAGAGGGAAUGAAGUCCUUUUGCUACUGAACAUCGAUAGUUCGUUCAUGGAUGUCUUUCAAUUGCAUGUUCUAUGUCUGUUUUCCGGUUCCUGGAUUAAAGCACGUUUUAGAGGUACAACUUGGGUUAUCUUUGCAGAAUUGCAGCCGGGGAAUUUGCAGUUGUGUAAAGACAAUUUCUCAUUCCAUUUCUGACAAGAGUUUCCUUACACACAUUGUAAUUUCUAGGUAUAUGGAAUGCCUCUGUACUCAAUUGGGAAAUAGUGAUGUGUAUGGAAUGCCUGUGUACUCAAUUGCCCAAAAUUUUGGAGACAAAUCCGUUUACUGAUGAUGAAAUGACAAAUGUUCAAGAACGCUAUGCAAAUUUGAUUUUGGAAAGACUUUGAUGUAAUUUAAUUAUGUCAAUAACCAUGCUUUUAAACAAUGUUUAGCUUUUGUUUAGUUUUAUGAUAUUGUAAAUUUCAAUUUGUUUGAUAUUGUAACAAUGACAUGUUUGAUAUGAAAUUUGAUCAUAUGAUAUUUCAUAUUA